rnacentral:rRNA from 1 species
UACGUAGGGGGCAAGCGUUGUCCGGAAUUAUUGGGCGUAAAGAGCUCGUAGGCGGUCUGUCGCGUCUGCUGUGAAAACUCGGGGCUUAACCCCGGGCCUGCAGUGGGUACGGGCAGACUAGAGUGCGGUAGGGGAGACUGGAAUUCCUGGUGUAGCGGUGAAAUGCGCAGAUAUCAGGAGGAACACCGGUGGCGAAGGCGGGUCUCUGGGCCGAUACUGACGCUGAGGAGCGAAAGCGUGGGGAGCGAACAGG